rnacentral:lncRNA from 1 species
UGCUUUUAUUUCUAGCAUCAUGACAAAAUUGUGGCCAUUCUGAACGUCCUCUAAUUGUAUGAGAACAGGUUAUUGAUUUCACAUUUUCUGGAGGAAUUUUCAAAUUUCAAAAUAUUGCGCGAGUCAUGCAUUAGGUUCAGAGACUGUGACUCCCUUUGUUUUCAACUAUUAGAAUACAGCUCAAUAACAUUAGUUAGGUAGUGUGCUAAUGACCUAAUACGAUAUUUAUAGGGUCAGUAAAUUCCACAUGGGGUGAGAGCAAAACUCGAAUCCCCAUAUGGUCUUUACUGACCCAUAUACAUAGUACGCUGUGUAACCAACUUACUCUACCGACUAUCUUAACAUGUGGUAUUUAGAAUAGUGGCCUUUCAAAGUCUUCAGUACUUAGUAUUCAGAACCUACUUACAUUUGUCUGUACAAAAAGAAAUGCCAUCAAUAACAAUUUGUUAUCUUAAAAUGCGUUUUAUUGAUUUAUUUUAAUAGUUCAUCAUCAAUUUUCUUGUUCUGCUGAAACCUUUCAGAUUUUUUUCCAAGCACCAUGUUGUUUUUAUAAAAAGACAUAACAUCACAACUAACCGUGUAUUGAAAUAAUCUCCCAUCUUUUUUUGUUUUAAAGGGAAGUAUCUCCUUAAUAACCCCAUAUUGUAACUUACUCUAUAUUUUAGGACACCCUAUUAAAUAUAUGCAGUCACCUAGUGUAGUCCUUUAAAAAUCAUAUCCCCAUAAAUCUGUAGGAG